AGUAGUGCGCGUCAGCGCGUCACUGCAACAAGUAGUUACAGGCUCGUUAGUGUAAGUACGUUGGAGUACGUAACAUAUGGCUGACCAGCGUCUGUCAGAAUUAUUACGAUUUCCCUGGCAAAUACGAAGAAACGUGGCUUCACGUAAUGCGAAUAAACCCAAGCGGAAUGCUGUAGUCCAACAUCUCGACAGUUUCAGCUCCAAAUCGAUACAAGAAGAAUGAGAAAGCGAGACGUGCGAAAAAACUUGUAUAAACUGUAUGCAUCUUUAAAUGGCGAAUUUAAUUAAGAACUUGGAAAAUCGAACGAUACAAGUCGAGAAGUAUGAACAGAGGAUUCGUAUCUGGACAAGCACGUAGUUAAAAAUGGUUUGUAUAUACUAUGUACACGUGUUGUUGGAACUUAAUGAGAAAGCUGCGCAACUUCGUACCACCCUUUACCAGAACGCCAUUACAAAAAUUGCUGCAAUUAGAUUCUCUUAGAGACUGGAUUUUUUCCCUGGAAGCGAAGAUUUUCUUCAUUAAUUUUUAUUUGAUUCUAGAAUAUUACAUUGUCUGGACCCGCUGCUGCCGUUAGCAGUUGUAUCUUCCGGCUGUGUAUGUGCCUUUAUAAUUUCAGAGAAAUAUAAUUCCUAUAUGUAGCAACCAAUUUAAAUCGGAGGAAUGCCGCUACAACAGUUACAUUUUACAUGGAAAACCUUGAUUUCGGCAUUCGCGUUAUUUUUAUCAGCAUUCUUCGAGAAAAUUUAAUUAAUCGCCAAAAUCUUCCAAUCUCUUGCGUAAUCCUGUAUAUGUCAUUCUUGUUUCGCGGGCGAAUGCACGACAGAUGCGAGCUGUAAUCCAAUAUAUCGCGCAAUUUUAGAUUCGCAAUAAUGUGGUCGAAGAUAGUUCAGGAUGAAGCAUUAAAGUACAUUGAAAGACUGAAAAUUGAACGCUAUAAACGGAGGAACGGGAAUAGAGAAAUUGUAGAUUUCGCGUGUGACUCUGACUCUUGCCGAGUAAUCUGGGUUGUUCGUGAGAGUGUGUGAUAUCAACUUUGUAUUGUGAAUUGAUGGUGAAAUACGAUAUCAGUCACGUAAAGUUGGAACAACCAAAACCUCGAAAUCGAGUUGCAGCGCAAACUUACAUGAGUUAGCAUUUCGAUUUCUUGUUCGAUAACUCAUUGUAUCGUUGCAUAAAUAUUUUUCACGCGUUAAAUAUUCUUUUUCGUAGAUAAUGUAGAAGUUUCUUUAAUAAAAGAGCUAAGAUGAUAAUCGCUACGUUCACGUAAUUAGCAUAAUUUUGUUGUUCGAUAAAAUGUUAUACCUGAAAAGGUGACUGCUAAAAAAAAAGACAUUUUUCUUCGUACUACCGAUUAUUUCAAGUUAUUAUGCGUAGAAUUUUUAGUUUAUAAACGCGUAAAAACAAAUAUCAAAAAGAAAAGAAAAAAAACAGAAACAAAACUUAUAGAUAAACCAAUGAUCUUCAGCAUCGACAAUUCAGAAAUUGGGAAAUCGUAGAAUCAACAUCGGAGAAGUUGUUUUCAUUCUAAAUCGUUUUUAGAAGAGUUUGCAGCCGGUUUGUAAACUCUUUUUCCGUAAAAAAAGAAAGUUAAAUGGACGUGAGAGUGAGUAACUAUCCUAACGAAUAGAAUGUGUUUUCUCCGCAUUUACUUCUCUAUCUUCCCCAUUGUGAGAGAAACAAACUUUCUUAGUUACCUGAUAAUUGGUUAGAAGUAUAACGCAUACAUGUAUACACAUGAAACUACUGAACUUUCGUACAUGUUAUGCACGCUGGAUAAUGUGGUUGCACACUACUACGCAUAUAAGCUUGUUUUACAAUAGGAUUACAGCUCAAACACUAUAUGUACAUAUAUAUCUGUAGCUGCAUAGAAAUACUUAAGAAUUAAUGCAAUUGUUAUGUUUUUACAAACUGUAUAACGUCUGCUUAAAGCAAAUGUAAUAAUAUUGCAGGAAUUGUAUUAUUUCAAACCGUAUUACAGAUACACGAUUUAAAAUUUCAAUGGAAGAAAAUUAAAGCGUAACCAUCAAGGGAGGAACUGCGAGAAGGUGUAAUUAAACACAACUCCCGUUUCUAUAAUUUCUUUCCGAUAAUAAGCUAAAGAAAUUACAAGUGCAAUUGGCUGGGAUAAUAAACUUAUAUCGAUACUAAUGAAUGCUCAUUAGAUUUCACAAAUCAGAAGGGAAUUAUCAAUUUGUUCGAUAAUUUAUUCACAAGUGUAUCAACAUUCGCAAUUCGGUUGUAUGUAAAUAAAUCGAUCAAACUCUAUUAAACUA